CCUACGGGUGGCAGCAGUGAGGAAUAUUGGUCAAUGGACGAGAGUCUGAACCAGCCAAGCAGCGUGAAGGAAGAAGGCGCUAGGUGUUGUAAACUUCUUUUAUAAGGGAAUAAAACGAGGCACGUGUGCCUUUGUGCAUGUACUUGAUGAAUAAGGAUCGGCUAACUCCGUGCCAGCAGCCGCGGUAAUACGGAGGAUGCGAGCGUUAUCCGGAUUUAUUGGGUUUAAAGGGAGCGUAGGUGGGUUGUUAAGUCAGUUGUGAAAGUUUGCGGCUCAACCGUAAAAUUGCAAUUGAUACUGGCAGUCUUGAGUACAGGUGAGGUAGGCGGAAUGCGGGGUGUAGCGGUGAAAUGCUUAGAUAUCGCGAAGAACCCCGAUUGCGAAGGCAGCUUACCAAAGUGUGACUGACACUGAUGCACGAAAGUGUGGGUAUCAAACAGGAUUAGAUACCCUAGUAGUC
rnacentral:rRNA from 1 species